CCUACGGGCGGCAGCAGUGGGGAAUAUUGGGCAAUGGGCGAAAGCCUGACCCAGCAACGCCGCGUGAAGGAAGAAGGCUUUCGGGUUGUACACUUCUUUUGACAGGGAGGAGCAGCAGACGGUACCUGUCGACUUAGCCACGGCUAACUACGUGCCAGCAGCCGCGGUCAUACGUAGGUGGCAAGCGUUGUCCGGAUUUACGGGGUGAAAAGGGCGUGUAGCCGGGCUGACAAGUCAGUUGUGAAAUCCGGGGCUCAACCCCCGAACUGCAUUUGAAACUGUUGGUCUUGAGUAUAGGAGAGGCAGGCGGAAUUCCUGGUGUAGCGGUGAAAUGCGUAGAUAUUAGGAGGAACACCAGUGGCGAAGGCGGCCUGCUGGACGACAACUGACGGUGAGGCGCGAAAGCGUGGGGAGCAAACAGGAUUAGAUACCCCAGUAGUC
rnacentral:rRNA from 1 species